CCAGACUCCUACGGGAGGCAGCAGUGGGGAAUAUUGCAAAAUGGGGGAAACCCUGAUGCAGCGACGCCGCGUGAGCGAUGAAGUAUUUCGGUAUGUAAAGCUCUAUCAGCAGGGAAGAAAAUGACGGUACCUGACUAAGAAGCCCCGGCUAACUACGUGCCAGCAGUCGCGGUAAUACGUAGGGGGCAAGCGUUAUCCGAAUUUACUGGGUGUAAAGGGAGCGUAGACGGUAAGGCAAGUCAGAUGUGAAAGCCCGGGGCUCAACCGCGGGACUGCAUUUGAAACUGUCCUACUGGAGUGCAGGAGAGGUAAGUGGAAUUCCUAGUGUAGCGGUGAAAUGCGUAGAUAUUAGGAGGAACACCAGUGGCGAAGGCGGUCUGCUGGACAGCAACUGACGCUGAGGCGCGAAAGCGUGGGGAGCAAACAGGAUUAGAUACCCUAGUAA
rnacentral:rRNA from 1 species